CCUACGGGGGGCAGCAGUGGGGAAUAUUGGACAAUGGGCGCAAGCCUGAUCCAGCCAUGCCGCGUGUGUGAAGAAGGCCUUCGGGUUGUAAAGCACUUUCAGCGAGGAGGAAGGGUGGGGGGUUAAUAGCACAUUAAUUUUGACGUUACUCGCAGAAGAAGCACCGGCUAACUCCGUGCCAGCAGCCGCGGUAAUACGGAGGGUGCAAGCGUUAAUCGGAAUUACUGGGCGUAAAGCGCACGUAGGCGGUUUUUUAAGUCAGAUGUGAAAGCCCCGGGCUCAACCUGGGAAUUGCAUUUGAAACUGGGGAACUAGAGUGUGUGAGAGGGGGGUAGAAUUCCAAGUGUAGCGGUGAAAUGCGUAGAGAUUUGGAGGAAUACCAGUGGCGAAGGCGGCCCCCUGGCACAAUACUGACGCUCAGGUGCGAAAGCGUGGGGAGCAAACAGGAUUAGAUACCCUUGUAGUC
rnacentral:rRNA from 1 species